ACCUACGGGGGGCAGCAGUAGGGAAUUUUCGUCAAUGGGCGCAAGCCUGAACGAGCAAUGCCGCGUGAACGAGGAAGGUCUUCGGAUCGUAAAGUUCUGUUGAAGGGGAAAAAGAGCGGAGAGAGGAAAUGGUCUCCGAUUGAUAUUACCCUUCGAGGAAGUCACGGCUAACUACGUGCCAGCAGCCGCGGUAAUACGUAGGUGGCGAGCGUUAUCCUGAAUGAUUGGGCGUAAAGGGUGCGUAGGCGGCCUGCUAAGUCUGGAGUGAAAGGUACCGGCUCAACCGGUACAGGCUCUGGAAACUG
rnacentral:rRNA from 1 species